AUGCUGAUGUAAGACAGGUAAUUUGUACAUGGGGGUCCUUAUGAGGGUCCAUCAUAAAUGUAAAGAUGUUUUCUGUGGAAUUUGGAUGGAAAAGAAAUAAGAAACAAAAUAUUUAAAAUUCAAAUCGACCACAUUUCCCUGGUUACCUGUGUCAGCGAUUUAGAGUAGAUACACAGAAUUGGGGAAGGGUACAACAAGAAGUACUACCUCUGCAGGCCACAUCACAGUUUUCCCCGGUGCCUGUGAUGUCACUUGUUCCACGUCGGACUGAACCCCUGUAGGUCUGUAGCGUGGAAAGUACAAGCUCACCCCUUUAUAAAGCGGACGGCAUCAGUGAGGUGAUCAUCUUCGAGGCUAUCAGCCACAGAUAAAGUGACCAGCACAUCAAGAUCUGAUCAGCGACCGACCACAGACCCAAACAUGAGACCCUACUGCGUUUUCAUCGCCUGCCUUGUGCUCUUCGCUUUCUGCUCACUGGCUCAGAGUGAAUUCAGCCAAGGUCCCGACAAGUGCUGCUUUUCUUUUUCAAAUGUAAAAAUCCCAGUAAAGCAGGUUGAGAGUUAUCAUACUACACAUCUUGAAUGCCACAGGACUGGUGUCAUUUUCAUCACAAAAGCUCAAAGGGAGAUCUGUGCUGACCCGACAGAGAGAUGGGUUCAGAGACUGAUGAACUUGGUGGAUUUAAGGGCAUCACAUCUUCACACCAAACCUGAGACGUCAGUUGUCCUCUUUAAAGUGGACACAGAGGCAAAGAAAUCAUCAGGGUCAGUCAGAACAUCACAAACUACACCACUUCACCAACCAAAGGAAACAACUCUAGUCCUCUUCAAAGAGUCAGAAGACUGGAAAGUGUCAGAGUCAGUCAGAACAUCAGAAACUACACCACUCCACCAACCAGAGGAAACAACUCUAGUCCUCUUCAAAGAGUCAGAAGACUGGAAAGUGUCAGAGUCAGUCAGAACAUCAGAAACUACACCACUCCACCAACCAGAGGAAACAACUCUAGUCCUCUUCAAAGAGUCAGAAGACUGGAAAGUGUCAGAGUCAGUCAGAACAUCAGAAACUACACCACUCCACCAACCAGAGGAAACAACUCUAGUCCACCUCAAAGAGUCACAUGACCUGUUAGAUUUUCUUAUCUUUUAUAUUGUCUGUUUAACCUUAGGAAGUCUUCAUAUUAUCUAAACCCUUAGAGGACAUUAUUAAAAUGACAUUGUUCUUCCCUCUUUAAAGGAAAGCAUCAGAGUCAGUCAGAAUGAUAGAAACUACACCACUCCAUCGGCUGGAGGAAAUGGGUCUGGUCCACUUUGAAGAGUCACAUAACCGAUCCACUCACUUCUGCAUGCGGCCAGGAUGAGAAUAACUACAGCAUUUCUUAUCUACAGUAUGUUGAGACAUCAGGACCAAGGAAACCAUGACAUCUCUUAAUGUGCAGUAGAGUACUACUACAUCAACAAUCAUCAUAGAUAAAUAUAUAAUAAAUUAUAUUAUAUAAAUAAUUAUAUAGUUUGUGUGAUUGACUGAUGAUUACUAAAUUAAGUAGCAUGCUGAGGCUGUCAGCAACAUUUGUGAGGUUGAUUGUUACUACUGUGUAAAACUGUGGGGGUUUGGCAUGUUAACUCUUUCUUUUUAAUUUGUCCUUUCUUCAGGAAUUACUGGAAGUCUGAUUGUUUUUUUCAUGAAUCUCUUCUUGACUUCUAUUCAAUCAAAUUCUAUUUCUCAAUCUUUAUAGCCAUACUACUAGAUUUUUUGGUCCCACUUUAUAUUGUGUCCCCUGUACCUGUGAACUUAACAUGGUAACUAGGUGUGUACGUAGCAUGUAACCACAGUGUAAGUACACAUUGGUACAUAGUAUCUACAGCUCUAAUACUGGUGUAACUACACACAUGUA